GUAAGACACUGUUUAACAACAACCAAUUCGACAGUUGUAAAUUUGGGGUGUCUGACGAUUUUCUCGAAUCUGGUGACUGUUUCGGGUCACGCUGUGGCAUUCGAACCAGUCUUAAGUUUAUCCCGGGCGUAGCUUUGCAGUGUGCGCUGCAGGGGAAAGAGAGGUGGUGUUGCAGAGAGAAGCCUACUACCACCUUCAGCGGAGAAUACCAGGGAGACUGUCGUAUGUCUACACCAGCAUGUUCAUUCAUAGCAGCUGAGUUUCUGUGAUGCUUAAUCCACUUGUAGUUUCACGGACUGUGCUGGCUCCGGUGUCGCUUCACGCUAAAACGUUAACAGGCUACCAAAACGUUCGUGCGGUUUCGAAGUCCCAGCAUUUUCAACUUGUUUGGUAGAAACAACAGAAUCUUCCUUCCGGUAGGCUCGCUACUACAGAAUGUCAAAAGCGUUUCUCAACCUUCUCGGUUGAGAUCGGAAUGCGAAGCAUACAAGUACGUAUGUGUACUUGCACGAAUUCAUUUGUGGAUUUCUACACGUGUGAAGCACGUACUUUUUUACCGUAAGUACACGCCGACUACGAAACGCCUUUCCCUGCCUCAGUGACACCCAGAAGACACCAAGCCAUCGUGAGAGGACGAUUUCUUGAGAUGGCUAACGGACGCGGCCGCUGUAUUACAGUACUUGAGUGUGUCCGGAAAGGAAUGUACCUGUGCGUGUAUCCUUGAUCAUUGACCUCCGUGUUCUGGCGUAAAGAAGUGAUUCCACGGAACGAACUUUUCCCCC
rnacentral:lncRNA from 1 species